CUAGACUACCAAUACCUAAAACCCUAGACCAUAAGAACCUGCCGCCGUCGCAACACCACCCCCACCACCAAGCAACAGCCGCCGCAUCUCCCUUUCCCACCAUCUCCUAUGCCAAAAAACCACCCUCUCCAAUACUAGACCCCUCGUCUCACCUUCUUCUUCUUCUUCACCAAACACAAACCCUAGGAACACAUCUCGGAACACAGCCACUGCCCGCCAGCUAGCCUCCCACGUAGCAGUGCCAUUCUUCUUGCUUCAUCUCCAACCUCUCCAACACCAACCAUCCGCAACCUGACUCGCCGCAAACCAACCUUGCCUCCCUUCAUGAUUUCUUCUCAAAGCCUUCCGAUUUUCUGUCAUACAGCUCACACGCACACGCAGUCACAUAUAGGAAGGAAAAUGGCUUCUGUUGCUGAUUUCUAAGGUAAAGAAAAAAUGAAAAUGGUAGCUUCUUCUCCACUUAGCCACCUCUUCUGCCUCCAACACUGAUAGUACUUUUGUACAACUCCGGUUCUUGAGUUGCCGGAAGAUUUCACAUCAGCCAGAGUUUGAUUUGAAUAGACUGAUAUUCGUUGGAGUUUGUUUGAGGUUUCGUUCAGAUUUUUGUUCGUGUUUGAAUUCUCGUUGUCGUCGAGGUUUUUUCGGUCCGGGUUUCUAUUUAUACAGCAUCGCUAUAACUGACAAAUCUAUUUGAGGUCUUUUUCCCACCCCUUUCUUUAAUUAAUGCAUGAUGUUUUGGUGUUCUGUUUAGUUCUUUUAGUUUGAAUGACUUUGUAUUUCCAGUGAGUUUGUCAUAGCUCUUAAAACUAAUUCUCCAUGUUUACCUUUGAAAUGUUCUUACUGGACAUUAGUACAUUAGAGUGAAUGAUGAAUUUGGAAUUAAGACACAAGAUGCCUAAGAUAAUUCAUGGUUCAUGUGCCGAUUCAGAAAUGGACUAAGGCAAAAACAGUGAUUUGGUUUAAAAAUGACAUUAAAGUGAAUAUUGGAAUGGCUCUAUGGGCUUUACAUCUGAUGUGCUUGCCGUUUAAGUUUUGAAUUAUUUAUUUUUACCAUGUCAUUUUAUUCAACUGAGUCGUAUUGAAUUACUAUUUUUUUUUACGCUUUUGCUAGGAGCAUGUUUAGGCCGACCACACUUGGGUAGGCAAACCUUAGGAU
rnacentral:lncRNA from 1 species